UACAGAGGUGGCAAGCGUUGUUCGGAAUUACUGGGCGUAAAGGGCGCGUAGGCGGUCUUGCAAGUCCCGUGUGAAAUCCCUCGGCUCAACUGAGGAAUCGCACGGGAAACUGCUUGGCUUGAGAUCGGGAGAGGGAAGCGGAAUUCCGGGUGUAGCGGUGAAAUGCGUAGAUAUCCGGAGGAACACCGGUGGCGAAGGCGGCUUCCUGGACCGACACUGACGCUGAGGCGCGAAAGCUAGGGGAGCAAACGGG
rnacentral:rRNA from 1 species